rnacentral:lncRNA from 1 species
UAGGUUUUCAACGCUGUCAGUAAUAGCAGUACUGGAGCCUACAAAUCAUCUACUAAGAAUGUCUUGGCUAAUGUCCAUUUCUGAAUAGAGAAGUCAGAGAGUAGCCUGCUGAACUUGGGAGAACACAAGAAUUAUUCCUGAAAGAGAUCAGAAUAUAUUUUGGGGAGAAAAAGUGAACAGAUGGAGAACAGACAUGGAGAUGCUACAGAGAUGACAGAGGCUAUUGGGGCAAUCAAGAUACAGAUAAUGGCUUUCGGACUCAGCAAACCCCAGUAGAGGGAGUGUGGCAUCAACGGGGAGGAGUUCAAAAGCAAGUCUGAGGGUGAAAAUUCUCAGAUGACAACCCACAAGGACAAUGAAGAUGGGGCAGACUGUUAAGCAUCUCAUUUGUGAGCUUUGAAAGACACAUUUACUAGCAUGGAUAAAUGAAGCACAGCACUAACCAAAAUAGAUUAUUUAGAGUAUUAGUCACUUCACAAAUACAAAAGACCUAUGGAUAAUUUAAGCUGGAUAUAUUUCAAAACACCUUGGCAUGCUGCUGGUCAUUAGGAUAUGGCUGGUGGUUAUGUCAAUAUGUAUCAUUUACUAAGGAAGAAUUCAUCAACAUUGCCAUUUUGUAUGCUCAAUAAACCAGCAGAUGGUGUAUGACA